UAAGGGAAAAGCACAUAAACUAUGACCCUGUCAUUUGGGGUCCAUGUGACAUGGCCACCUGGUGUCCUCUCCUAUGGCCCUCUUUGAAGAUAAAGGCACAAAAUGAAGAUUAACGCAGGCUCAGUCCUUGGAUCCUGUGCCUAUGUGGUUAGGAAAGGGGCCAAAGAAUGAGAGGCAAGCGUGAAGCGAGUGAGGCGAGUGUGCACCCACAAGCAAAGAACCUCCAGGGUCCAUGCGAAAAUGUCCUUUAAACUAAGGGAAGCUCACACUGGCUCUGAGUUUGUGUGCCUGUGCUUACAAGUGUAUAUAUCAGCAGCUGCAUUUGGAAUGAAGACAGGAAACACAAAAAAGAAAGCCCUGGAGACAAAA